UUGGUAUGAAAAUAUAAAAUCAACUAUCAAAUUCUUUAUAGAAGAAUACAGAGAAGCAAAUUAUGAACUAUGGGUGGAAGGUUGGUUCAUUGUAACUAUCUAGCGGGCGCAGCACUGUUCAAAUAGGUGUGGUCAUGUGGCAUUCUAGCGAGCAAUAGGGAUGCCAACAAACUAUAAAUAAAUUAUUCAAUUAUAUACUUAAUUCUGUAUCAGAGAAGGUCCUGAAAAUAUAAAAUAUAAUAGUUGAAUAAAGCCGAACAAUCUUUCACUAUUGAGAUAAUUUGAAAUAUACUAGGGGCAACCUGUCCCUAGUACGGGUGGGCAAACAAACCUCUCCAAAGGGAUGGAAAGCUGAGGCCCAAUACACUAUAGCAGGAACUUCGUGGAACAUGCAGUUGAGGCAAGACAGAGCAAAAGUGCGAAAUCAUAUUAUUCAUCAUGUUGCUAUUGACUAAACAAUAUUAUCACAGGUAUCAUCACUAGAUAUCAUCAGCGAAAUAUCAUCAAGAGCUAACUUAUUUCACCACUUGCUGGGACACUAAAUCACAUGAUAUAGUAUGUUUUAGAAAU
rnacentral:sRNA from 2 species